rnacentral:lncRNA from 1 species
AGAAGUCAGAAGAAGAAUAUGUAAUCCCUUCUCCGUCAGCCGAGUAUGCCACCACGGGUUAUGAGGAGAAGGAGGGCUUGGUAGACAAGAUCAAGGACAAACUACACGAACACCACCAUAAGAAGUCAGAAGAAGAAUAUGUGAUCCCUCCUCCGGCAGCCGAGUAUACCGCCACCGGUUAUGAGGAGAAGGAGGGCUUGCUAGACAAAGUAAAGGACAAGUUACACGAACACCACCACAAGAAGUCAGAAGAAUAUGUGAUCUCUCCUCCAGCAACCGAGUAUGCCUCCAGGGAUUAUGAGGAGAAGGAGGGCUUGGUAGAUAAGAUCAAGGACAAGCUACAUGAACACCACCGUAAUAAGUCGGAAGAAGAAUAUGUUAUUCCUCCUCCAGAAACUGAGUAUACUGCCACGGGUUAUGAGGAGAAGGAGGGAUUGGUAGACAAGAUCAAGGACAAGCUACAUGAACACCACCGCAAGAAGUCAGAAGAAGAAUAUGUGAUCUCUCCUCCAGCAGCCGAGUAUGCCGCCACGGAUUAUAAGGAGAAGGAGGGCUUGGUAGACAAGAUCAAGGAAAAGAUACACGAACACCACAAGAAGAAGUCAGAAGAAGAAUAUGUGAUCGCUCUUUCGGUUACAGAGUAUGACGCCACGGAUUAUGAGGAGAAGGAGAGCUUGGUAGACAAGAUCAAGGACAAGAUACACGAACACCACCAAAAGAAGUCAGAAGAAGAAUAUGUGAUCCCAACCGAGUAUGUCGCCACGGGUUAUGACGAGAAUGAGGGUUUGGUAGACAAGAUCAAGGACAAACUGCAUGAACACCACCACAAAAAGUCAGAAGAAGAAUAUGUGAUCCCUCCUCCAGCAGCCGAGUAUGCCGCCACAGGUUAUGUGGAGAAGGAGGGCUUCGCAGACAAGAUCAAGGACAAGUUAUACGAACACCACCACAAGAAGUCGGAAGAAGAAUAUGUGAUCCCUCCCCCAGCAGCCGAGUAUUCAGCCACAUGUUAUGAGGAGAAGGAAGGGUUGGUAGACAAGAUCAAGGACAAGCUACACGAACACCACCAGAAGAAGUCAGAAGAAGAAUACGUGAUCUCUCCUCCUCCCGCAGUCGAGUACGUCGCCACCGUGGAGGUUGAUGAGGACAAGGAAGGUUUGGUAGACAAGAUCAAGGACAAACUACACGGACACAGUCACAACCACAAGAAAUCAGAAGAAGAAUAUGUCAUUCCUCCCCCUCCAGUAGCCGAGUAUGCCGCCAAGGUGGAGGUUUAUGAGGAGAAGGAGGGUUUUCUAGACAAGAUCAAG